GGGAGGGGAAGGUGAUGGUCCGCGUUCUUCCUUUUGUCGCCAUCAUUGAUUGGCUUCCAAUUUCGCUUUCUCCUCUCCUUUGUUAGUCAAUUCGCCACCUGAUUCACAGCUAGCGCCCCUUGUGGUUAAAUCUCUCGGCAACUCUUGCAGCGCACUGUCUCGGCGUUGCCUCUCGCUCGGAAGCUGAAAUUUGGAAGACAAAUAUCAGGGAAUGCAGAAAGAUGUGUUUGUAUGUCAAAUCCCCGUCUAAGGUAUACAACAGUGUUGCCCAAAAUGAGGUCUCUGUGGUUGCCCCAGAUGACGUUGGAGUGCACAUCGAUAUCCAAUCCAUGCUUGAUGCACAACCAAACAAUGGGGCUAUAAGUGUUCAUCUGGCUCUUGUAUUUUAUGACCUUGUGGAAGACGGUUGAGAUCAACUGUGCCGAAUUCCUUUGCAUUGUAGAAAGCAUAGAUCACCCUAGCAGGGGGGAAUAAGACACUGUUUUUUGGGUUGUAGCUAUAUUAGAAAAUGGAAACGCAAAAUAGAGAAAGUGUGUUGAUGCAGAGGUAUGAAGUCGGGAGAUUGCUAGGGAAAGGAACUUUUGCCAAAGUUUAUUAUGCUAGGAAUGUGAGAACUUCCCAGAGUGUUGCUGUUAAAGUCAUAGACAAAGAGAAGGUCUUGAAGGUUGGGCUUAUCGAUCAGAUAAAGCGAGAGAUUUCUGUAAUGAGAUUGGUGAAACACCCAAAUGUUGUGCAGCUUUAUGAGGUCAUGGCUACCAAAUCUAAGAUAUACUUUGUCCUGGAAUAUGUAAAAGGUGGUGAACUUUUUAACAAGAUUGCAAAAGGAAGGCUCAAAGAAGAUGUUGCACGGAAAUAUUUCCAACAGCUGAUCAGUGCCAUCGACUUCUGCCACAGCAGAGGUGUCUAUCACCGUGAUCUAAAGCCUGAAAACCUUUUGCUUGACGAAAAUGGAAAUUUAAAGGUUUCAGAUUUUGGCUUAAGCGCUCUUGCUGAGUCCAAACAGCAGGAUGGCUUGCUCCAUACGACUUGUGGUACUCCAGCAUAUGUUGCUCCUGAGGUGAUUAGCAGAAAAGGAUAUGAUGGUGCAAAGGCUGAUACCUGGUCUUGUGGGAUCAUUCUGUUUGUUCUGAUGGCUGGUCAUCUCCCUUUUCAUAAUUCGAAUCUGAUGGAGAUGUAUAGGAAAAUUGGGAGAGCGGAUUUUAAAUGCCCUGUUUGGUUCUCAUCCGAUGUUAGAAGACUCCUUGUACGAAUUCUUGACCCAAAUCCUAAUAGUAGGAUCUCAUUUGCAAAGAUUAUGGAAACUCCUUGGUUUAGAAAGAGACUUGAUGACAAACUAUUUAAGAACUCCAAGGAAACAAAGGAAACUGAUCCUUCUCAUGUUGAUGAAGAGUUAAGUUCCUCUGGUAGCAACAUGGCUGAGGCAAAACAGGAGACGGGAAAACUUGCUACGUUAAAUGCUUUUGACCUCAUCUCUCUUUCAGCAGGAUUUGAUAUUUCAGGUUUGUUCGAGGAGACUGACCACAGGAGAGAAGCAAGGUUUACGUCUGAUCACCCAGCGUCUGUUAUUAUCUCAAAGCUGGAGGAGAUUGCCAAGCUCUUGAAGUUAAAAGUGAAGAAGAAGGAUCAAGGGGUACUAAAAAUGGAAGGAUCAAAAUCAGGGCGAAGUGGCGUUUUGGCCAUUGAUGCUGAGAUCUUUGAGGUUACUCCUGAACUUCAUCUGGUGGAGAUCAAGAAGACCGACGGGGAUACUUCGGAGUAUGAGAAGCUGUGGAAACAGGACAUUAGACCGGCCCUGAAAGACAUUGUUUGGAUGGACAUGGCAAGGAAAUAUGGCAGUAGUCCUCACCACUUUGAUUUGUCCUGCAUCAUGAACCCGCAAGCUAGCUCUGAAUUGGCUGAUUGAGAUUGAUGAGGGUGGCUUAAUUGUUGUCACUCUCAAACAAGAUCUCGAGUAUGAUGUAGGUGUGCAAAUUCAUUUCCAUUAGCAAGUUGUGGAUUGACAUGGGGAAGCCUUUUAUGGGAUUAACUACAGCGUGCUCAUUAUGAAGCGAACGGACCACAGGCUUGACAGGGCAAUGGAAAGCCGCCACCACCAUCACAUUUAUGUACCUGGCCAUGGAGGCAAAAGCCCCAAAGAAAGGGCAGCUUGACCUCCUUCGAGGGAAAAGCAAAAGAUGAAGACGGAGUGCUCACGCUCCCACAUUGUUCUUCGGUGAUGUUGCAAUGUGACCCAUCUCAUGUUGAAGAAGCGAAGACUCCAAGGUAUCGGGCAAGAACCGAAAGCAAAGGUGUCUGCGUUCCAUGUCCCACAGGCAAGGAAAUGAAUGCCUCCCUCUUCGAAGAUGGGCAAGAAGAAGUCGAGAGGGUCCCAAUCCUUAAGUUGGACUGCGUGAUUGCUCGCAGACUUCUCCAACUACUUUCGACGCGGAACAGAAUCCAAGACAUGGAGAUGGAGAAGC